AAGAUAGAGUCCAAUCUUUCAUGACAGCCUGGAACUCUAAUAAAAAUCUUCAUCACACCAAUUCCCAGAGGUACAGAAUGAUACAAUUGUGAAUGAUUGAUAUUCAUCCAUCUGCAAUAUUCAGACUCUGUGCCAGCCUCCCAAGAAUUACUGUCACCCAAAUACAUAAGACAAAAUACAGACUGGCCAGGAUGCUGCUGUGGGCCUUAUGACUGCUCCCUCAUUACUGUAUGCUGUACAGAGUAUCCUGUCUUGGGCGAAGUUACAAUCUGAAAGCAACGCUACAUUAAGCAAGUGGUGAGCAAGCAUGAUUACAAGUGCAACUGCGAGUCACUUACCAUUAAUUCCUGUGGGUGUACGUACAGAUGGAGAUAGAGACCCACCUCCCUUGGGAAACACCAGCUUCAAUCUGUUCUUCUUGUGACACAAGCCGUGAAUGCCAUGGAGAGAUAAAUUCAACUACAUUCUUUCCUGUAAUGGGAAUGGUAUUUCACUAUGCUGUUACCUCCUCCCAUGUAGCCUCACAUGUGCUCAGAAAUGCAACAGAUUCUACAGCAGUUUUAAGAUUUGUCUUCUGAAAAUGUCAUUUUGAAGCUGUGAAAUCAGCCGUGCUCAAAAUGAAAAGCACGCUCAAUGGUAUGGAAAGAGAUGGAAGCUAGAAUUUCUUCUUUAUGCCAUUUCUUCUGACCCCAGAAAAUGCUGACCUCCUGCAUCUGUCCAUUUUGACUGACAAAUAAGUGGUCAGUUUGGAUAAAAACCAAAGAUCAGAACUAAUAAAUGUGUUGGCAGGAACA
rnacentral:lncRNA from 1 species